UACGUAGGGGGCAAGAGUUGUCCGGAUUUAUUGGGCGUAAAGAGCGUGUAGGCGGCCCGAUAAGUCCGCUGUGAAAGUCCAGGGCUCAACCCUGGAAUGCCGGUGGAUACUGUCGGGCUCGAAUCCGGAAGAGGUGAGUGGAAUUCCUGGUGUAGCGGUGAAAUGCGCAGAUAUCAGGAGGAACACCUGCGGCGAAGGCGGGUUGCUGGGCUGACACUGACGCUGAGGCACGAAAGCUAGGGGAGCGAACGGG
rnacentral:rRNA from 1 species